AGAACUCAUAAACUGACCAGUUUAAAUUUUCUUACAUAAUACUGGUUGAGUUUUGUUAGACCAUGAGUCCAUAUCAAGAAAAGAAAUUAAACAAUUGACCUUGGUCAAAAGUUUAAGUAUGCUUGGGACCUUAAAGAAUUUGGUCGAUUUGUGGUUUUAACGAUUAUGAUUGAUAAAUAGAGCCUUGGAUUUUGUUUAUUUGAUUAUACGUUAAAAUCAGCAUGCUGGGGUACUUUUAGGGUGCAAUAAAGCGAUGUCUCCUCACAUCUUGGUUGUGAGCAAGACAUGUUCACAGAUAUGCAUUCUUAUAAUUCCUGCGGUAUGAAAAGAAAAUAAAGACAUAUUGUAUGGCAUCUUUGGGAUCAAAUAUAAUAUGUAAACUAAAGAAAAAUGGGGUUUGAACAAUUAUACUUGUUUUAUUGUUCUUGAUUUAAGCAUGUUUUAUAUAUAUUUUCUCAUGUUGUUUUACAUGUUUAAAUUCAGUUCCUAGCAAUGUUCUCUCUGUUGAACCAUUAAGUGGUUCAAAUUUUAAGAAGUGGAAGGAGGACAUAAUUAUUUCGCUAGGACUAGCAGAUUUGGGUAUAGCACUUAGGACUACUAAACCGGAGAGCGCACAUGCCACCGGGACAAACCAACAACGAGCUGCAUAUGAAAAGUGGGAGAGGUCUAACCGGUUAUCUCUACUGGUUAUGAAAAGAUCCAUGACAGAGGCCAUACGUGGUAGCAUUGAGGAUUGUGAGUAUGCUGUUGACUAUCUUGAUGCUAUUGGUAAGAAAUAUAAGGAGUCUGAGAAGGCUGAAGGGGUUGCUUUGCUAUCUAAGUUUAAUUCAUCAUAGUAUGAUGGCAAUGGAAAUAUCAGAGAGUACAUCAUGGGCGUUUUAGAGCUAGGUGCCAAGCUUAAUUCUCUAGAUUUUGGCAUCUCUAAGAAGGUGAUGGUGGCCCACAUCCUAAAUACACUACCACCCUCUUUUAGUCAAAUGAUUGUUUCCUACAACACCCAAAAAGAAAGCUGGACACCUGAUGAGCUUAUUUCAAAUUGUGUUCAAGAGGAGGAACGUCUUCGUCGGGAGAAGGGAAAAUCUGUUAAUUUUAUGCAAAAAGGAAACAAGGGCAGCUGCAAAAGGGAAAAAAGAAGCAGCCAUAUCUUGGGCCUCAAGGGGGUGUGCAAAAGAAAAUGCCUACUACUUCUUCGAAGCCUAGUUCUUCCAAUUCUAAAGGAUCUUCCAACCCAAAAUCUGAACCUUUUCUCUGCUACUUCUGUAAGAAAGAUGGACACAUGAAGCGAGAUUGCUCUCGCUACAAAAAAUGGCUUGCAAAACAAGGGUUACAGAACAAAGAGGAAACCAAGAAGGGAUGAGCUGCAAGUGUUCGUGGGCAAUGGAAACAAAGUUCAAGUGGAUUUCAUAGGCACUGUUAGGAUAAAAUUAGAGUCAGGAUUUUCUUUUGAUUUAAAGGAUGUUGCUUUUAUUCCCUCUAUGAGGAGAAAUUUAAUUUCAGUUGUCAAACUUCGUAGAGAUUCUGGUUUUACUUUUGUCAUUGAUGAUGAAAUAAAAUUUUAUAAAGACAAUCAUUUAUUGGGAA